AGAGAAAAAGUGUAACUUUUUGAAAAUGAUAAAUGUUAGUCUUAUUUAGUUAGCUCACCAAAGAAAAAUAUGAUUACUCGUGCAGCGCACGGGCUGUUAAGAUAUCUCAAAAAUUUAACUUGGUAGAGCAAAACUUCUAAAGUUGGUUGUAAAGCAAAACAAAAUAAAGUACAACACUGAUUCAGCAAGUCAAAUAUAACUCCGCAUCUCCUCCAGCCAGUACAAUAGAUGCAUAUGUACAUACAUUAUUUAUUUCUCAUAUAAUUUGGCAGAAAAGGAGUGCUCAUCUUCUAACUUGCUUUAGUACCUAGCUAAAUAAAAAAAAUCAGGCUCAAAUUUAGCAAUCACCAUAACUUAAGCAAUAUCCCGGUUUUGCUUGGGAAACUUGAUCCAAGAUCCAUCAGUCCUAAUGUGAGCUUUCUUGCAUGCAGUGUCACAGAAUACUCUUAUUCAUCUGCCGCCAACUAAUAGGUUGUGGUUGUCUCUGCAAAAUGUUCUCGAUUCUCCUACUUGAGUUUCUGUUCAAAUGUUGUAAUAGGCCCAUUGAGCAUUCCGCUAUUCUUAAUUAAUAAAGAAAUAAGCACUUGACAAAUUGUUCGGAACUAUGUAAUUAGGAGGUAAAGAAUAGAAAGUAAAUGAAGGAAAAUGAACAAGAUACUAUGAGAUAACUAACAAUAUAAUUUAAUUACACCGACUUACACUUUCAUCUAUAACACCCAAAUCCCAUUGUUAUGACCUGGUAUUACCAUUUCAAAUUAUUAAACAGCUAAAGUUUGAAGAAGGGAAUAACAAACUACAAUUAAUACUCUAUACAACUUCUACAUUUCUACUGCUUCAUUUAAUAUUUAAUAUUUGGAGACAACAUGCCACUACCUCAACCUAUAGAGACACUCUAACACACCUCUGCCAUACCCCCUACCUCCACAUCCAGGCUGCGCAUCCUAGACUAUGGGUCCGGUUAUAAUACCAUGUCAAAACGGAUCUUCAACCGCAAAUCUAACUCAAGAGGUGAAGAUUGUUUAAUAAAAUCGAAGGAGACAACACUGUACACUCUUAACAAACAUGGGGAACUCAAACAUGUAGAGAGCUACCAUAAGCUUGCAUUAAAAAAAUAUCACAAAUACUGAAAUAUGGUACAUUAGACAUUAAAAGAGAAAGUUUACCUACAAAGUUGUAAAGUCCUAAUGAGAGGAUCUUCAUGAAAUACAGGAGAUCAAAGUAUGAAAAUGAAAAUACUAACCAGAGGUUAAAAAUUAGGAGAAAGCAAAAGAGAGCAAAGAAGUCCACCAGUAUACAAACAAAUAGAAGUAUUCAUAAAAUGCAUUAAACUUGGAAAUCAGGACUUCAACAUCAAAAGGGAGCAAACUUAGAAUAGAUCAGAUGGCUAUACCAGAACAAUUUCAAUUGCAUCUACAUAUUCCACAAAUAUAUCAAUAUCAUAUAACAAGUUUGGCCAAUAUCAUCAGCGAAUUCCAAAUUCAUUAAAAUUGCUAUCAAAAGUUCUAAAUACAGCAAAAGAACAAGUUGGGCAACUAAAGGAAAAACCGGCCCUGAAAAAGUGGCAAUAAUAAAUUUUCCAGCAGUGCAUGUCAUAGCUAAAAUCGUACAACUCAGAAGCUCUUGUGCAACAGAACCCAAAUCUAACACUAUGAUUUUAGUUGUUUUAGGUAAAGACAGACUCCGUCAAACACUUUAUGAUCAACAGUGGUAAUUCCUAAUCUUACAAACAGAUUUAGAAAGAGAACUGGAUUAUAUCUUACAUCAUAGGACGUGCUAUUACACUUCACUACUGGUGCGGCAUAUCUACAAACAUGAGGUUUACCAACUAUAUUUAGUUUUCAGUUUUUUAAACACAAGUUCAUGUAGAAUUGAAUGUUCUUUUGCAAUGACUAAAAACAGAAUACGCAUGUGCAGAUGCAGUUAAGAAACCACUUACAUAACCAAGAGACCAGCAGUUGAAUGUAAUUUGAUUCAAACAUGAAUAUUUCUUCACAAUCGAAACUAUAAUUAAAUCAAUUACACCCGCUAACAUCAUCUGGUUCAGCAGAUGGAACAUUAACUUUAAGGAGGCAAUAGCCAAAUCAGUCUAAUAAUUCAUCUUAACCAAUAACCAUUUGGCACCAAACUGGCAUAAAACAGUCAAUGAAAAUAAGCAUGUGCAAAAUCAGUUUAAAAGAAUAGCUAAAGAACUCAAGAAAUUCUACAAUUGCCUUCAACAAAAUUUAUUUUUUUCUAUGGAGAACGAAGGAGAAAGGGCAAAAUCUCUAGAACAAUACCUCAUUACAGACUGCUCUAAUCACUAAAACGUCACGACCUCUCAGAGAACUUUCUUUGACACAAUCUGAAGAGAACCAAGAAAUUUAGACAUGCAUAAGUAGAAUCAAUUAAGAAAAGAGCUAAAGAACAGGUAGUUCUAGAAUAGCCAUCAGAAAUUUCUAUAUCUUCUACGCGGCAAAUAGAAUACGGAAUAUAUGGAAUUCGAAAAGGGCAGAGGAAAAAUUUCAGGAAAAACAAUCAGAAGCCAGGAAGAAGAAGAUGUAAGAGAGGGAGAAAGAGCACUUUGGGAAACUACAACGCAUGAUUCUAGAAAAUAUGGAUACUAAGAAAGAAGAGAAGAUUCAAAACACGUCGUCCAAAAAGUAUACGUGUUGAAAACCAAUUUGGAAAAAAACAGCCCUCACUAUGCAUCGUACAACAGCUCGAUGUUGGUAUCUAAUGACGAUUUUGUCCUUGGACGACCAAAUUGUGCAUUUCAAAGCUCAAACUCCAGAUUUUAUUGGACCAUCAUCCACAAUAUCUUGAACCUCACUAUAUCCAAU
rnacentral:lncRNA from 1 species